rnacentral:rRNA from 1 species
AGCAAACAGGAUUAGAUACCCGGGUAGUCCACGCUGUAAACGAUGAGUACUAGGUGUCGGGGGUUACCCCCUUCGGUGCCGCAGCUAACGCAUUAAGUACUCCGCCUGGGAAGUACGCUCGCAAGAGGGAAACUCAAAGGAAUUGACGGGGACCCGCACAAGUAGCGGAGCAUGUGGUUUAAUUCGAAGCAACGCGAAGAACCUUACCUAAGCUUGACAUCCCAAUGACAUCUCCUUAAUCGGAGA